rnacentral:rRNA from 1 species
UACAGAGGGUGCGAGCGUUGUCCGGAAUCACUGGGCGUAAAGGGCGCGUAGGCGGUAGGGUAAGUCUGGUGUGAAAUCCUGGAGCUCAACUCCAGAACUGCCUUUGAUACUGGCGGACUUGAGUCCGGGAGAGGUGAGUGGAACUGCGAGUGUAGAGGUGAAAUUCGUAGAUAUUCGCAAGAACACCAGUGGCGAAGGCGGCUCACUGGGCCCGGUACUGACGCUGAGGUGCGAAAGCGUGGGGAGCAAACAGG